rnacentral:misc_RNA from 1 species
UCAGCGGGUCUUCUUACCUGAUCUGAGGUUGAACUCUAGGUUUCCAAAGGUUUAACGACCAAAACUCCCUCGAGUACGCAAGACGACAAACCAAUUUCCAAGAAAAUCCUUUGCCACUUGCUCUGACCGAAGGUAAGAGUCGAAUGAUUUCGAGGCAAUGCUCCCCUCAUUCGAGGAGCAAAGCCCAAAACCGCGCAAGCUUAAGCGCGAGGUAGUUCAAAACAACGCUCAAACAGGUAUGCCUUCCUCAGCAGAAGGCGCAAUAUGCGUUCAAAAACUCGAUGAUCCACAAAAAUCUGCAAUUCACACUACGUAUCGCAUCUCGCUGCGUUCUUCAUCGAUACGAGAGCCA